CCUACGGGGCGCAGCAGUGAGGAAUAUUGGUCAAUGGGCGCGAGCCUGAACCAGCCAAGUCGCGUGAGGGAGGACGGCCCUACGGGUUGUAAACCUCUUUUGCCGGGGAGCAACGGGCGUCACGUGUGGCGCCACUGAGAGUACCCGGAGAAAAAGCAUCGGCUAACUCCGUGCCAGCAGCCGCGGUAAUACGGAGGAUGCGAGCGUUAUCCGGAUUUAUUGGGUUUAAAGGGUGCGUAGGCGGAAUGCCAAGUCAGCGGUAAAAUCGCGGGGCUCAACCUCGCUCCGCCGUUGAAACUGGCGUU
rnacentral:rRNA from 1 species